AAAAUGACUCUCGACAACGGAUAUCUCGGCUCUCGCAUCGAUGAAGAACGUAGCGAAAUGCGAUACUUGGUGUGAAUUGCAGAAUCCCGUGAACCAUCGAGUCUUUGAACGCAAGUUGCGCCCAAAGCCAUCAGGCCGAGGGCACGUCUGCCUGGGUGUCAAGC
rnacentral:rRNA from 1 species